rnacentral:misc_RNA from 1 species
GUAUAUAUUAUAUAGGCACAACAUUCUAUUGACAUACAUUGGAGUAAAUGAAGAAACAUAGACCUGAAAGGCCUACAAGAAGUGCACAGGUGGAGAUAUAAAGAUGACAAGGUGUGCACAUGCUCCCUAGAGAACCAGCAACAACCCAUCAGGUUUAUUUCAAUAAUGAUCCUUCCGCAGGUUCACCUACGGAAA